rnacentral:rRNA from 1 species
CAGCAGCCGCGGGAAAACGGAGGGUGCAAGCGUUAAUCGGAAUUACUGGGCGUAAAGCGUGCGUAGGCGGCUUCUUAAGUCGGAUGUGAAAUCCCUGAGCUUAACUUAGGAAUUGCAUUCGAUACUGGGAAGCUAGAGUAUGGGAGAGGAUGGUAGAAUUCCAGGUGUAGCGGUGAAAUGCGUAGAGAUCUGGAGGAAUACCGAUGGCGAAGGCAGCCAUCUGGCCUAAUACUGACGCUGAGGUACGAAAGCAUGGGGAGCAAACAGGAUUAGAUACCCCCGUAGUCCCUGUCUCUUAUAC